GGCUCCCGGCUGCAGACUCCAGCUCAUUGUGUUCUGACUGCGAUGUGGCGCUUGCGAUCUCUCGCCGCCGGCAGAGGCUCCUCGAAGAGCGACACGGGGCUGACCAGGCACGGUGGUCAAAGCCGCAGAGGGAGAGCGGGAGCGGUCGUGAGGUCGUCUGGGGAGAAGGGCGGAGGCAAAGCCGAGGAGGUGCGGGUUGUGGUCCAUUCUGGAGGACGCUGAUCGAAUGCCCCAAACUUCCCGGAAUCAGGUGUGUGGACCCUUCUAGCCUGAGGAGUCCUGCAGGUGUGAAGCUCCACACCUGCCUCCAUAGCACUUUGCCUGUCCCUAAGAGGGCUCAUCGGAGAAGAAAGAAUGGCUGUCAGCCACCUGCCAACCAUGGUCCAGGAAUCGGUGACCUUCAAGGAUGUGGCUAUACUGUUCACCCAGGAAGAGUGGGGGCAGCUGAGCCCCGCCCAGAGGGCCCUGUACAGGGACGUGAUGCUGGAGAACUACAGCAACCUGGUCUCACUGGGACUCUUAGGACCCAAACCAGAUACGUUUUCCCAGCUAGAAAAAAGGGAAGUGUGGAUGCCAGAGGACACCCCUGGAGGCUUCUGUCUUGACUGGAUGACUAUGCCUGCCAGUAAGAAAUCUACUGUCAAGGCAGAGAUUCCUGAAGAAGAAUUGGAUCAAUGGACAAUAAAGGAAAGAUUCAGUAGCAGUAGUCACUGGAAGUGUGCUAGCCUGCUGGAGUGGCAAUGUGGAGGCCAGGAGAUCAGUUUGCAGCGAGUGGUACUCACUCACCCCAACACCCCAUCACAGGAAUGUGAUGAAUCCGGGAGCACUAUGAGCUCAUCUCUUCACAGUGAUCAAAGUCAGGGAUUUCAACCUAGCAAAAAUGCCUUUGAGUGUAGUGAGUGUGGAAAAGUCUUCUCUAAGAGUUCAACUCUUAAUAAACAUCAGAAAAUUCAUAAUGAAAAAAAUGCAAAUCAGAAAAUUCAUAUUAAGGAGAAAAGAUAUGAAUGUAGAGAAUGUGGGAAAGCCUUUCACCAGAGUACGCACCUUAUCCAUCACCAAAGAAUUCACACUGGCGAGAAACCCUAUGAAUGUAAGGAAUGUGGCAAGGCCUUCUCAGUGAGCUCCUCACUUACGUACCAUCAGAAAAUUCAUACUGGAGAGAAGCCUUUUGAAUGCAACUUAUGUGGAAAAGCUUUUAUCCGAAAUAUACACCUUGCCCAUCAUCAUAGAAUACAUACUGGAGAGAAACCUUUUAAAUGUAACAUUUGUGAAAAAGCCUUUGUGUGCAGGGCACACCUUACCAAACACCAGAAUAUCCACAGUGGAGAGAAACCCUAUAAAUGCAAUGAAUGUGGAAAAGCCUUUAAUCAGAGUACAAGUUUCCUUCAGCAUCAGAGAAUUCACACUGGAGAGAAACCCUUUGAAUGUAAUGAAUGUGGGAAGGCCUUCAGGGUGAACUCUUCCCUUACUGAACAUCAGAGAAUUCAUACUGGAGAGAAACCUUAUAAAUGUAAUGAAUGUGGGAAAGCUUUCAGGGAUAAUUCAUCCUUUGCACGACAUCGGAAAAUUCACACUGGAGAGAAACCUUACAGAUGUGGCUUGUGUGAGAAAGCCUUUCGGGACCAAUCAGCACUAGCCCAACAUCAGAGAAUUCAUACUGGGGAAAAACCUUAUACAUGUAACAUAUGUGAAAAAGCCUUCAGUGACCAUUCAGCCCUUACCCAACAUAAGAGAAUUCAUACUAGGGAAAAACCUUACAAAUGUAAAAUCUGUGAGAAAGCCUUUAUCCGAAGCACUCACCUGACUCAACAUCAGAGGAUUCACACAGGAGAGAAACCCUAUAAAUGUAAUAAAUGUGGGAAAGCUUUUAACCAGACUGCAAACCUCAUUCAGCAUCAGAGACAUCAUAUUGGAGAGAAGUGAUAUGAAUGCAGUUUGUAUGGAAGACCUUUGAGACUGAGUAGAUGAAUUAUUGAAUGUGAGAUAAUCCGUUCUAGAGAAUAACUAUGAAAGCUUGCAUCAAGAUAGUCACUUUAUUUACUGAGGGUCAGGUUUCACAGUGUCAUGGGGUUUGGGCAUUUAAGAAUGGCAAACACUCGGCUGGGCACAGUGGCUCACGUCUGUAAUCUUUGGGAGCACUUUGGGAGGCCGAGGUGGGCGGAUCACGAGGUCAGGAGAUCGAGACCAUCCUGGCUAACAGGGUGAAACCCCAUCGCUACUAAAAAUAUAAAAAAUUACCCGGGCAUGGUGGUGGGCGCCUGUAGUCCCAGCUACUCGGGAGGCUGAGGCAGGAGAAUGGCAUGAACCCGGGAGGCAGAGGUUGCAGUGAGCCGAGAUCGUGCCACUGCACUCCAGCCUGGGCGACAGAGCAAGACUCAGUCUCAAAAAAAAAAAAAAAAAAAAGAAUGGCAAACACUCCUCAUUCUUUAAUACUGCCUCAAAUAGCAGUACUGUUUGAUUUGUCUGAAUUACCAAGCAUCAGAACCAAAAUGGAGCUUCAUUAACAGCAUUAAAAAAUUGGUUUAUCAAAUUACAUUUUGACUAUUAGAGAAACUGAAAUUGUAAAAAUUAAAGCUGAAAAGCAAAGGAACAAAAAGGUAAAAUGGCCUACGAGCGUUGCACUCUACUAGAUUCUCUUACAUAAGAGAGUUGCCAGCUUUAAUGGAAGCCUUAGUCCUCUCCUCACCCACACCACCGACACCCAGUGUAGAGAAAGUACGUCACCCACACUUAUUUAAACCAUGCUUCCUGCCUUUUGCUUCAAACCAUCCAUUGUCAGAUCUCUCUGGUCUGUCUGCUGGCUUCAUCCCUGUAGAAUCCCUGUGAGACGAUUCAUUUGCCCCAAAUGACCCUCUUCUGACUUAGCAACGCCUAACUGUCUGCAUGGUGCCACCUAUCACUGCCCCUAUGGGGAGUGUGGUGGUCUGGUCUCAGACACAGUCCAUGAUGUUGAAUAUCACACCCAAAUCCAGCCUUCAGAACUUGGUAUCUCUGUCCAGAAGGCACAACUUGAUCAAAAUUCUUGAGUUAUGCAUUUCCUCUGGGCUUCAGCUUGACUGAUCCUGGGAUGGCACCUGAAGGAGGGGCUUUGCCUGUGCCGCCUUUACCCUCCAAUUGUUCUGUACUUAGUGACUCUACACAUCAGUCAGGGACUUGCUCAGCUUCAGGUGCAAUGAUCCCACCCACUUACGUUGUACUAUUCCCAGUCACCUCCAUCUGUCGCUGCCCAUUUCUCUAUGUGCAAUUGAUAUAAGAGGUGAAAGCCCCAAGGCCAGUUCUCAGAAUGCUCUGACCCACUCUCUUCCCCUGGCUGUACAGUCCACUGUGUCCACUGCAUUAGAGUACAUUUACUACUCCCAGGAUAAACUGCUGCAUCCUGGUCCUUCCCCUGCUUUUUCUAGGUUUCUGGAGGUAGUAAUUCUAUAUUCAUAGGAAAGCAGACAGCUUUGAAUUUCUGCUUUUGCAUUUGGAAGUGGUCAUUUCCUCUCCUCCAUCUGGGCCUUCCACUAUUUAAAGACUCAUGCUGACAGUGGUGAGAAAAAUGUUGAGUAAUUCCAUGAGUCAAGAAGUGGUCACUAGCACCAUUGAUAUUCUCUGGCAAGGGCCAUGUCCGUGUUCAAAAGUUUGAGUGGUACAGUCGUCCUGCAAGUAUGGUUCCUUUACCCUGUUUUUUUUUUUUCUUUUUCUUUUUCUUUUUUUUUUUUUUUGAGACAGAGUCUUGCACUGUCGCCCAGGCUGGAGUGCAGUGGUGUGAUCUCGGCUCACUGUAACUUCCACCUCCUGGGUUCAAGUGAUUCUCCUGCCUCAGCCUCCCGAGUAGCUAGGUCUACAGGCACCCACUACCAUGCCCAGCUAAUUUUUUGUAUUUUUAGUAGAGUUGGGGUUUCACUAUGUUGGCCAGGCUGGUCUCAAACUCCUGACCUUGUGAUCCGCCCACCUCGGCCUCCCCAGGUGCUGGGAUUACAGGCAUGAGCCACCGCACCCGGCCACCUUCCCCGUCUUUAAUCCUUCAGUGCUUUCAGUAGAAAUCACACAGAUAAGUAACAUCUGUGCAUCACACACACACACACACACACACACACACACACACAGCCUCUGAGGGCCCUCUCCCUUUUCCUACCACAAGGAAUGGAGGAGCCUUCACUACUGCAAGCUGGAAUAUAUCAUGCAGUGAAGAUGGGAGGCCAAGCAAAUUUUUCUGGAAAGUGAAGUGGCAAGUUCCUGGUAUGUGGAAGUGCUGUCCGUCAAGUUGAGCAACCCCCUGACCCCUCAGAAUGGAGCACCUCACCCCCAUGUUACAGAAGAGGAUAUUCUAUAUCAUGGUAGAACUCAGUGGGCUCUGGGUUGCAACAUAGACUUGGAAGCUUCCAGCAGCUUCAAAGUCCAAGUAAUCUAAAUUCAGCCUUCAUCUAAUAAAGGCCACCUUUGUGGGCCAGCAUCUCCUGUUAGCUGAUCAGCAACUCAGACUUUCUUCCCUAUUAAGCUGCAUGUGAAGCAGUAUUUCAAGAGGUUUCUUGGGAUUGCUUGUGUCCCAUGUCCUCAGAAGUUCAUCUGCAGCUUCACGCAGCUGACACCCUCAGAUUCCAGAGUAAACCUGAAAAAACCACGUUCACUGCUACAGAUGUCUGUCUUCACCCCAUCCAUGUAAUGUGCCAGGUCUUAACUACCACCCCCUUACCUUGAAUCCCUGAGAAGCACGUUUCUAAGCUGAGUUGGUUGGUGGUUUUGUCUAUCUGUAAUGAACGCAUGAGAACUACCACUACUUGGUAUGUGCCUACCGUUGAGCCAGGACCAAGGCGUGCAGCCACUUGAGUCUCAUUCACCUCAGCCGCGGCUCCAGGAACUAGCGUCAGCGGCAUUAAGUGCAGGCUGAAGGCCCCCAUCUGAGAAGACAGUGCACUCUCCCUGAGUUCGCCUCUCAUCAGGCUUGGGUUUUCAUGAAAUCAGUCCUCCGAGAUGCCUGUUCACUCAUCCCUGUCUGGAAAGGCAAAAAGUACGUCACUGGCCUAUUAGAUACGCCCAGGCUGACUUGAAUAUAUUGAUGGUACUAGUACUUGGCCAGGCAGUGGCUUUACUGUAUUACACUGUAGGAUGACGAGCUCACUGCACGGCCUUCUCGACUAGGGGAGGGGACACUGCCUGAGUCCCAGGCAUACUUUUCUCACGUGGAUGAUACUGCUCUCUACCUGGGCAUUCUCACCUGCCCCAGCUCAACCCCUAAAAGUACAUUUCUGAGGACCCUGCAGUAAGACUUUUUCAGCCACAGUCUUCUCUACCAGCUGAUCUGUGUGGUGUUAGACAUUUCAGUACUUACUGAGAGGGAGUUUUCUGUGCCCCACCUUCAGCUGGGUUAAUCCCCAAAGAACCAGUGUUUCCUAGAAAGAGCAGUUCAUUCCAUACCUUGCUCUUGUAGUCCUAAUGGCCAUGUCGACAUACCCAGCUGUGACAAGAUGAAGGACCACGAUUUGGGACUCUUCAGGGACAGACUUGGCCACCUGGUGAUGUGCCACCUUCAGCAGCUCUGUCUUCACACGUCCAGCCUGCGCCUGCUUCAUGUAGUACACAAGACUGCUCUGGUACACCACGACCAUGACCUUCACAUGAGGCCAGUCUCCCCGCCCCUCACCUGGGCCAUAGAAAAAGGAUGCUGCUGUGAAGAUGUAAUGGGUGGAGCCUCAGCAGCCAUCUUGUGACUAUGAGACCAUAAGCAGGAAGACCCAAGGCAACCACAGGGAAUGGUGGAACAAAGGAAUGGACAGAGCCCAGGGCUUUGAGAGCGCAUUCACUCACUGCCCCAUGCCUAAAGUCACCAACUCUCAGACCUCCUGUCUUGUGAUGAGAUGCCUUUAUCGCUAAAACUACUCUCAGUCCAGGCUGCCACCUGCACCCAGAUGCAACGUAGCUGAAAUAAAAGGCGUGAUGGUA